AGAGUUUGAUCAUGGCUCAGGACGAACGCUGGCGGCGUGCCUAACACAUGCAAGUCGAACGGAGUAAUUUCUUCGGAGGUUACUUAGUGGCGAACGGGUGAGUAACGCGUGAGAAACCUGCCUUUCAGUGGGGGACAACAGUUGGAAACGACUGCUAAUACCGCAUAAUGUUAUUUGGGGGCAUCCCCGAAUAACCAAAGCUUUAUGUGCUGAAAGAUGGUCUCGCGUCUGAUUAGCUAGAUGGCGGGGUAACGGCCCACCAUGGCGACGAUCAGUAGCCGGUCUGAGAGGAUGAACGGCCACAUUGGGACUGAGAUACGGCCCAGACUCCUACGGGAGGCAGCAGUGGGGAAUAUUGGGCAAUGGGGGAAACCCUGACCCAGCAACGCCGCGUGAAGGAAGAAGGCCUUCGGGUUGUAAACUUCUUUUACCAGGGACGAAGAACGUGACGGUACCUGGAGAAAAAGCAACGGCUAACUACGUGCCAGCAGCCGCGGUAAUACGUAGGUUGCAAGCGUUGUCCGGAUUUACUGGGUGUAAAGGGCGUGUAGGCGGAGAUGCAAGUUGGGAGUGAAAUCCCGGGGCUCAACCCCGGAACUGCUUUCAAAACUGUAUCCCUUGAGUGUCGGAGAGGCAAGCGGAAUUCCUAGUGUAGCGGUGAAAUGCGUAGAUAUUAGGAGGAACACCAGUGGCGAAGGCGGCUUGCUGGACGAUAACUGACGCUGAGGCGCGAAAGCGUGGGGAGCAAACAGGAUUAGAUACCCUGGUAGUCC
rnacentral:rRNA from 1 species